GAUGAACGCUGACAGAAUGCUUAACACAUCAGCAAUUGAUUGGUGGCGGACGGGUGAGUAACGCGUAAAGAACUUACCUCACAGUUAGGGACAACAUUUGGAACCGACUGCUAAUACCUAAUACUGUGAGAGAGCUUUGCGUCCCAUUAGCUAGUGGGAGAGGUAACGGCUCACUAAGGCGAGGAUGGUUAGCCAGCCUGGGAGUGUGAUCGGCCACAAGGGACUUGGGACACGGCCCUUACUCAUACGGGAGGCAGCAGUGGGAAAUAUUGGACAAUAGACCAAAGUCUGAUGCAGGUAUUCUGUGUGUACGAUGAAUUUUUCGGAAUGUAAGGUGCUUUCAGUUGGGAAGCGGUACCAACAGAAGAAGUGACGGCUAAAUACGUGCCAGCAGCCGCGGUAAUAC
rnacentral:rRNA from 1 species